GGGUGGUAGCUCCGGGGGAGCUGCGGGGGUGCGCGGGGUGUGAGCCGGGAGCGCGGGCGACAGAUGUCGCGUGGGUCGGCGCAGCCCAGGCGCCGGAGAAGAGGGGUGCGCGCUUCGGGGCGCCCUCCGCCCGGCUCCCGGAGGUCCCAUCCGCUUCCCCCCUCCCGGAAGAGAGGCCCGGGGUUGCCCUCGGCUAGAAGGGGCCAGGCUGGGGCUGCCGAUUCCCAGGGACAGGAACGACAUUUUAAACGGGGCGCGGGGGGACAGAAAAAGGGAGUCGAGCGAGAGACGCGAAUCCCAAAGCGUGGAAUUUAGGGAAAGGCAGAAAGAAGGUGGGAAGAGAGGGAAAGAGAAAACAGGCGGCGAGACAGGGAGAGAAAGGAAGAUGCGGGAGCUGGAGAAAAAGAGAGACUGCCAGGACAAGUUGCAAGACGGUGGGAAAGUGAAUCAGAAGGAAAGAUGGGAAGCGAGAGGAAUCCAGCAGAAAUGGAGAGCGCGGCUAGGACACCUCUUCCUCCUUGGGUGUGGGUUGGUGAAAACCCUGUGUCCUUGGAGAAAGCUGGAUCCCGUUUUCCUGACGGGGAGCCCAGAGCUUGAAAGGCCGCAGUUGGCACUUCGAGAAGGAAGCGGAGAAUCAAGAUGUCGCCUGGAGCAAUAGUAGCAUCGAGGAAUGGGACUGGGGAAGCCCUUUGCAUAUGCAGCUGCAGAAACAGACACCCCAAUGCUAUUUACAUACAGCUCUAUGUAUAAAAAAAGAAAAUAUGAAUAUUACUACUCAGUGCAUGCCUUGUCGAGGACGUGGCCCCUCCCUUUUUUGCACCUUCCGAUGUGAACUUUGAUAUUCUUUCAUGUCUGGGGCACCGGAAGAGAGAUGCCUAUUGUGUACCUAGAAAAUUGGCCAAGACUGGUGGGAAUUAGCCUCAGAGCCGACCAGCUGCCUGGGGAGGGAUGCUGAUGGAGGAAGAGGUGAAAUUGCCAAAGGCAAAAUAGAAAGAGGAAAAAAAAGCGAGAAGGACUGGGGCCGAUGUUGUGGGGGCAGUCUGGGAUACUUCCAUUUCGAAGUCUUCACAAGCCCUAGCCUCUCU
rnacentral:lncRNA from 1 species